GUUAAGGUGGCAGAGCCCGGUAACUGCAAAAGAUCUAAGUCCUUUCCUACAGAGGUUCAAAUCCUCUCCUUAACU
rnacentral:tRNA from 1 species